rnacentral:rRNA from 1 species
AACGAACGCUGGCGGCAUGCCUAACACAUGCAAGUCGAACGAGACCUUCGGGUCUAGUGGCGCACGGGUGCGUAACGCGUGGGAACCUGCCCUUAGGUUCGGAAUAACUCCCCGAAAGGGGUGCUAAUACCGGAUAAUGUCUUCGGACCAAAGAUUUAUCGCCUUUGGAUGGGCCCGCGUUGGCUUAGCUAGUUGGUAGGGUAAAAGCCUACCAAGGCGACGAUGCAGAGCUGGUCUGAGAGGAUGCUCAGCCACACUGGGACUGAGACACGGCCCAGACUCCUACGGGAGGCAGCAGUGGGGUACACUGGACAAUGGGCGAAAGCCUGAUACAGCAAUGCCGCGGGAGUGAUGAAGGCCUUAGGGUUGUAAAGCUCUUUUACCCGGGAUGAUAAUGACAGUACCGGGAGAAUAAGCUCCGGCUAACUCCGUG